rnacentral:rRNA from 1 species
CGCGUAGGCGGAUGGUACAGUCAGACGUGAAAUUCCUGGGCUCAACCUGGGGGCUGCGUUUGAUACGUGCUGUCUGGAGUUCGGAAGAGGGUCGUGGAAUUCCCAGUGUAGAGGUGAAAUUCGUAGAUAUUGGGAAGAACACCGGUGGCGAAGGCGGCGACCUGGUCCGAUACUGACGCUGAGGCGCGAAAGCGUGGGGAGCAAACA